GACGAACGCUGGCGGCGUGCCUAACACAUGCAAGUCGAACGGGCCUGUGCGGAAACCUAGUGAAGCACAGGCCAGUGGCGGACGGGUGAGUAACGCGUGGGCAACCUGCCGUGUACCGGGGGAUAACACUUAGAAAUAGGUGCUAAUACCGCAUAAGCGCACAGCGCCGCAUGGCGCAGUGUGAAAACUUGGGGGUUUACCCCCUGGGGUACACGAUGGGCCCGCGUCUGAUUAGCUUGUUGGCGGGGCAGCGGCCCACCAAGGCGACGAUCAGUAGCCGGCCUGAGAGGGCGGACGGCCACAUUGGGACUGAGACACGGCCCAA
rnacentral:rRNA from 1 species